rnacentral:rRNA from 1 species
CAGUCGCCGCGGGAAAACGAAGGGGGCUAGCGUUGUUCGGAAUUACUGGGCGUAAAGCGCACGUAGGCGGAUCGAUCAGUCAGGGGUGAAAUCCCAGGGCUCAACCCUGGAACUGCCUUUGAUACUGUCGAUCUGGAGUAUGGAAGAGGUGAGUGGAAUUCCGAGUGUAGAGGUGAAAUUCGUAGAUAUUCGGAGGAACACCAGUGGCGAAGGCGGCUCACUGGUCCAUUACUGACGCUGAGGUGCGAAAGCGUGGGGAGCAAACAGGAUUAGAUACCCCCGUAGUCCCUGUCUCUUAUAU